UACGUAGGGGGCUAACGGUGUCCGGAUUUACUGGUUGUAAAGGGUGCUCAGGCGGUUGUGUAAGUCAGACGUGAAAUCCUAGGGCUUAACUCUAGAACUGCUUUUGAUACUGCGCAGCUUGAAUGUGGUAGAGGGGGAGGGAAUUUCUGGUGUAGCAGUGAAAUGCGUAGAUAUCCGAAAGAACACCAUUGGCGAAGGCGGGCCUCUGGUCCAUUAUUGACGCUAAGACACGAAAGCGUGGGGAGCAAACAGG
rnacentral:rRNA from 1 species